rnacentral:lncRNA from 1 species
UAGAUUCCACAGGACGCUGAGAUCAGUGCUAGUCUCAUGUCCUGGACACUUUGCAUCUCUAUUCCUUCGCUUGCCUUCGCCACGCCUCUCUGCCCACCGCGCCGCGGCGGUUCCUCUACUGGGACGCUGGAGCUUGGCCUCCGGCGUAGAAAGUUCCUUGCUUGAUGGCAUCGGCGUUGGCAUCUCCCAGUGCGGCGGAAGACAGAUAUUGUUCGGCGAGCUGUACACGCUUUACGUUCUGUUGCUCCUGCACCAACAUUUCUCCGUACUCCAUCAGCUUCUCGAUGGUCAUGGCGGGCUUCUCGAAGGUUGGGGGUCCGUUCUUGGAGUUCACCAAGUUCUUUCCGAUGUUCUCCACUCCCGUACCUGCGAUCCACUUCCUCACCUCGUCGUCGUACACACGCGCCCUCAGGGCACCGAAGAAAUCUGAGUUACGAGAUAGUUCAGGUUAGAAUUCAGUCGAAGCCACAGUUUCAAUAAAUUAAUAUUAAACCAGCAUCAUCCAGCUGAACGCGAGAAUCAGUAGGGCCUUUUAUUACAUACCGAU